ensembl:lncRNA
AUGAGGCCCAUGCUGGGCUCAAUGCACUGGAUCAUGGCAUUCCUGUCCAGCUUCAGUUGACGCUGGCAGCGCAGGAAGAGGCUCUCUAUCAAUCUGACCUGCCCCUAGCGGAUCCCAUGGAUGGCAGCCAGCCUGCACUUCCAGUGGUAAUGGGCUGAUACACCAUUGCUGCAAACGCUGCAGGUCUGAAGUUUAUCUGGUUGGUUAACAGUGCGGGAUGAGAAUUUGUGGCAGUUUCUCACUGAGUUUCUCCAAGCACAGAGGAUUUGAACUGUAAUAAAUGCUGGAAGACAUCGGAUAGCUGCCAGGAACAGCCACCCUCGGUGACACCUUUGACACCUCCUCACAUCCCUGGGCAGCUCGAAUUCCUCCACUGGACUCCUCCUGUUGCCCCGGCACAGCGGCUCAGAGGAUGCCAGUCCCUGCCCUUCCUUCUUCCUCAUGGUGAAGAAGAGAUGAGAGGACUUGGGGAAGGACGGGAGGUGGGGACAGGAAGGAUGGGUCCACAGGAACCCUGGCUGUCAAAAGAAGAAAUCCCA